GACGAACGCUGGCGGCGUGCUUAACACAUGCAAGUCGAACGGAAAGGCCCUGCUUUUGUGGGGUGCUCGAGUGGCGAACGGGUGAGUAACACGUGAGUAACCUGCCCUUGACUUUGGGAUAACUUCAGGAAACUGGGGCUAAUACCUGAUAGGAGCUCCUGCUGCAUGGUGGGGGUUGGAAAGUUUCGGCGGUUGGGGAUGGACUCGCGGCUUAUCAGCUUGUUGGUGGGGUAGUGGCUUACCAAGGCUUUGACGGGUAGCCGGCCUGAGAGGGUGACCGGCCACAUUGGGACUAAGAUACGGACCAGACUCCUACGGGAGGCAGCAGUGGAGAAUAUUGCACAAUGGGCGGAAGCCUGAUGCAGCAACGCCGCGUGCGGGAUGACGGCCUUCGGGUUGUAAACCGCUUUCGCCUGUGACGAAGCGUGAGUGACGGUAAUGGGUAAAGAAGCACCGGCUAACUACGUG
rnacentral:rRNA from 1 species